GAUGAACGCUGGCGGCGUGCCUAAUACAUGCAAGUCGAGCGAACAGACGAGGAGCUUGCUCCUCUGACGUUAGCGGCGGACGGGUGAGUAACACGUGGAUAACCUACCUAUAAGACUGGGAUAACUUCGGGAAACCGGAGCUAAUACCGGAUAACAUGUUGAACCGCAUGGUUCAACAGUGAAAGACGGUCUUGCUGUCACUUAUAGAUGGAUCCGCGCCGCAUUAGCUAGUUGGUAAGGUAACGGCUUACCAAGGCAACGAUGCGUAGCCGACCUGAGAGGGUGAUCGGCCACACCGGAACUGAGACACGGUCCAGACUCCUACGGGAGGCAGCAGAAGGGAAUCUUCCGCAGUGGGCGAAAGCCUGACGGAGCAACGCCGCGUGAGAGAAGAAGGUCUUCGGAUCGUAAAACUCUGUUAUUAGUGAAGAACAAAUGUGUAAGUAACUAUGCACGUCUUGACGGUACCUAAUCAGAAAGCCACGGCUAACUACGUG
rnacentral:rRNA from 1 species